UACAGAGGUCCCAAGCGUUGUCCGGAAUUAUUGGGCGUAAAGAGCUUGUAGGCGGUUUGUCGCGUCUGCUGUGAAAUUUCGGGGCUCAACCCCGAACUUGCAGUGGGUACGGGCAGACUAGAGUGUGGUAGGGGAGACUGGAAUUCCUGGUGUAGCGGUGAAAUGCGCAGAUAUCAGGAGGAACACCGAUGGCGAAGGCAGGUCUCUGGGCCACUACUGACGCUGAGAAGCGAAAGCAUGGGGAGCGAACAGG
rnacentral:rRNA from 1 species